GAUGAACGCUGGCGGCGUGCCUAAUACAUGCAAGUCGAGCGAACGGACGAGUAGCUUGCUUCUCUGAUGUUAGCGGCGGACGGGUGAGUAACACGUGGAUAACCUACCUAUAAGACUGGGAUAACUUCGGGAAACCGGAGCUAAUACCGGAUAAUAUUUUGAACCGCAUGGUUCAAAAGUGAAAGACGGUCUUGCUGUCACUUAUAGAUGGAUCCGCGCCGCAUUAGCUAGUUGGUAAGGUAACGGCUUACCAAGGCAACGAUGCAUAGCCGACCUGAGAGGGUGAUCGGCCACACUGGAACUGAGACACGGUCCAGACUCCUACGGGAGGCAGCAGUAGGGAAUCUUCCGCAAUGGGCGAAAGCCUGACGGAGCAACGCCGCGUGAGUGAUGAAGGUCUUCGGAUCGUAAAACUCUGUUAUUAGGGAAGAACAUAUGUGUAAGUAACUGUGCACAUCUUGACGGUACCUAAUCAGAAAGCCACGGCUAACUACGUG
rnacentral:rRNA from 1 species